rnacentral:rRNA from 1 species
GGGCCAGCGGCGGACAUGUGGUUUAUUCGAUGCAACGCGAAGAACCUUACCUACUCUUGACAUCCAGAGAACUUAGCAGAGAUGCUUUGGUGCCUUCGGGAACUCUGAGACAGGUGCUGCAUGGCUGUCGUCAGCUCGUGUUGUGAAAUGUUGGGUUAAGUCCCGCAACGAGCGCAACCCUUAUCCUUUGUUGCCAGCGAUUCGGCCGGGAACUCAAAGGAGACUGCCAGUGAUAAACUGGAGGAAGGUGGGGAUGACGUCAAGUCAUCAUGGCCCUUACGAGUAGGGCUACACACGUGCUACAAUGGCAUAUACAAAGAGAAGCGACCUCGCGAGAGCAAGCGGACCUCAUAAAGUAUGUCGUAGUCCGGAUUGGAGUCUGCAACUCGACUCCAUGAAGUCGGAAUCGCUAGUAAUCGUGGAUCAGAAUGCCACGGUGAAUACGUUCCCGGGCCUUGUACACACCGCCCGUAAAA